UGGCGGACGGGUGAGUAAUGUCCGGGAAACUGCCCGAUGGAGGGGGAUAACUACUGGAAACGGUAGCUAAUACCGCAUAACGUCGCAAGACCAAAGAGGGGGACCUUAGGGCCUCUUGCCAUCGGAUGUGCCCAGAUGGGAUUAGCUAGUAGGUGGGGUAAUGGCUCACCUAGGCGACGAUCCCUAGCUGGUCUGAGAGGAUGACCAGCCACACUGGAACUGAGACACGGUCCAG
rnacentral:rRNA from 1 species